UACAUGGGACGAAACGCACAGCCGGUACGUGCAGCAAGAGACGACAUUUUGGAAAAAAGCAGUUCAGAUGGAAUUGCCGAGUGUAAAUUCACACUCACUUUAUUAGGCAGGUGACACUGGUGACACUCUUCCUUCACUUCACGUAAUGGAGGCAGCCAUUUUGAAAUGACUUCCGACGAUGUCAAUUUGUUUUUUGGAAAUUUUACUGUUAUUUGAAACUUGAGUUGGAACCGGGGUCCGGAACAAUGGCUGAAAAAAAAAUUUACAAAUUAUUAUAACUUGCAAGAAGCAGCUCAACAUACCAAUGACGCAGCUAAAGCUGGCUUAAAGCAAAGAAAACAGAAAGCGAAUCGAUGAAUUCCCUCGCGACUAAAACCGAAGCAGAACGUAAAAAGAGAACUUGGAUUGGAAAACAGCUUGACAAGUGCAAGACCAGAACCGAAAGUCACAGUACGAAGAUGGGUACGCGAAUAUAUGCUGGAAACAACAGGAAUCAAGAUGGUGGAAAGGGC